rnacentral:rRNA from 1 species
GUUAUGCGUGGUUAUCCAAUACAUGCAAGUCGAGCGGACAGAAGGGAGCUUGCUCCCGGAUGUUAGCGGCGGACGGGUGAGUAACACGUGGGUAACCUGCCUGUAAGACUGGGAUAACUCCGGGAAACCGGAGCUAAUACCGGAUAGUUCCUUGAACCGCAUGGUUCAAGGAUGAAAGACGGUUUCGGCUGUCACUUACAGAUGGACCCGCGGCGCAUUAGCUAGUUGGUGAGGUAACGGCUCACCAAGGCGACGAUGCGUAGCCGACCUGAGAGGGUGAUCGGCCACACUGGGACUGAGACACGGCCCAGACUCCUACGGGAGGCAGCAGUAGGGAAUCUUCCGCAAUGGACGAAAGUCUGACGGAGCAACGCCGCGUGAGUGAUGAAGGUUUUCGGAUCGUAAAGCUCUGUUGUUAGGGAAGAACAAGUGCAAGAGUAACUGCUUGCACCUUGACGGUACCUAACCAGAAAGCCACGGCUAACUACGUGCCAGCAGCCGCGGUAAUACGUAGGUGGCAAGCGUUGUCCGGAAUUAUUGGGCGUAAAGGGCUCGCAGGCGGUUUCUUAAGUCUGAUGUGAAAGCCCCCGGCUCAACCGGGGAGGGUCAUUGGAAACUGGGAAACUUGAGUGCAGAAGAGGAGAGUGGAAUUCCACGUGUAGCGGUGAAAUGCGUAGAGAUGUGGAGGAACACCAGUGGCGAAGGCGACUCUCUGGUCUGUAACUGACGCUGAGGAGCGAAAGCGUGGGGAGCGAACAGGAUUAGAUACCCU